UAGUACGGCGAGUGAGAGGGAAGAGCCCAAGAUUGAAAGCUGGCGUCUUCGGCGUCCGCAUUGUAAUCUCAAGAAGUGUUUUCCGCUUCGGACCAAGCCUAAGUCCCCUGGAAAGGGGCAUCAUAGAGGGUGAUAAUCCCGUACAUGGCUUGGAGCGCCCGAGGCUUCGUGAUACGCUUUCUAAGAGUCGAGUUGUUUGGGAAUGCAGCUCAAAAUGGGUGGUAAAUGCCAUCUAAGGCUAAAUAUUGGGGAGAGACCGAUAGCGAACAAGUACAGUGAUGGAAAGAUGAAAAGAACUUUGAAAAGAGAGUUAAACAGUACGUGAAAUUGCCAAAAGGGAAGGGUAGGAGGUCAGAGAUGCGGCCUGGGAUUCAGCCUUGCUUUUGCUUGGUGUUUUUCCCAGAUUGCAGGCCAACGUCGGUUUUGGGCACUGGAGAAGGGUAGGAGGAACGUGGCACCCCUCGGGGUGUGUUAUAGCCUCCUACUGGAUACAGCGACCGAGACCGAGGACAGCAGCGUACUCGCAAGAGCGGGCCUUCGGGCACCUUUACGCUUAGGGCGUUGGCAUAAUGGCCCUCUACCACCCGUCUUGA
rnacentral:rRNA from 1 species